GGGGUUGUGGCUCAGUCGUAGAGCGCUUGCCUAGUACGCAUGAGGCAUGCGGUUCGAUCCCC
rnacentral:tRNA from 1 species